rnacentral:rRNA from 1 species
CAGCACGGUGUAGCAAUACACUGGUGGCGACCGGCGCACGGGUGCGUAACGCGUAUGCAACUUACCUAUCAGAGGGGGAUAACCCGGCGAAAGUCGGACUAAUACCGCAUGAAGCAGGGGCCCCGCAUGGGGAUAUUUGCUAAAGAUUCAUCGCUGAUAGAUAGGCAUGCGUUCCAUUAGGCAGUUGGCGGGGUAACGGCCCACCAAGGCGACGAUCAGUAGGGGUUCUGAGAGGAAGGUCCCCACAUUGGAACUGAGACACGGUCCAAACUCC